rnacentral:lncRNA from 1 species
CAGGCCUUUCUCCUGCUGGCGGCGAGGCCGAACUGCUCUGGAGAAGGAGCCUCGAAACUCGAGGCGGCCGCGGAUGGGGAGCGCCGCGGACCCCCGGGAACUCAGGUGUACCCCACCCAUGCCAAGUCCGGAACAAGGCGGCACAGUUCCAAGACACCCGGGGCCUGGAUGGGAGAACCCUGAUGGGGGACAACAUGAGCCCUUAUGGGGCAGGAGCCUGUGGACAGCACAUAGGACAUUGUGACACGUUCCUACAAACCCAGCACUCUGGGAAAUUGAACAAGAGGAUCAAUCUCAAAAAAGAGCCCAUCCUGGGCAACUCAGCAAGAAGCUGUCUUGAAAUUUUAAAAAAGGAAUGGAGACAUAGCUCAUUGUGGAGGCCAUGUAACAACAGGAAACUGAAGAGCACCUGGAUACAGUGAGACCUAAGGUGAUAACACUCACCUGCUUUCUUCCUGGGCUUUGUGGCUGUCUCCCCAAGGAAGUCUGUGAACCUCCAACCCAAUUUUAGAAACUGCAAGGCUAUUCAUCAAGGACAUCAAGAAUAAGAAAUGAUAAAACAAAAGAAGAACAGUGGACUAGAGAGUUCCACAGCUCUGAGUGGUGACCGGCUCAGCAGAAAAAAGUCACAAGCUAGGGCUUGUAGUGGGCGCCCAUCCCUAUGCAGAACCCCGAGGGUCUGACCUCCUACCACACUGAGUACUGUGGCCCUGGAUUUGGGGGACACAGAUAGAAAAGCUGUUUAUAGAAGUCUUCACGUGCCUCAUAUAGCCAGGCAGCUGGUCUUCUCUGCUCUGCGGGACACAAGAGUUUUUCCCUAGAGAAAUUGAAAAGGGGCAAUAUUGUACCCAAGGAAAUCAAGUAUGUGGGGAGAAGAGAAUUCAGGAAAGCUCUGCAUACUGAACAGUGGACUUCAAGCCUUUCUCUGGCCAUGACAGCAGCUCUACAUACCACCAAGCUGAGCCAAUAGUGUGCACAAACUGAACAGCCCAGGGACAACACAAGAACAAGGCUGGUCCACCACCUGGUCACCCUCUAUGAAGGCCACCAGUCAACACACUCUGCCCAAUUCCAUAUCAAGCAUACAGAAUGGACUCUUAGUGCCGCUUUCUUAAAUAUGAACAGAGAGCUAAUGAUCACCAGGUUUAUUUAAAGCUUCAAACAUAGAAAAAGGAGAUUUGGAGCAACAGAGACUUUGCAAGGAGCAAAAGAUAAGCUUGAAAAGAGUACUAACACUUCAAAAACAUAAGAAUAAAGAUUAUAUUCAUAAACAAGAAAAAUUAUAAUGAAUGGGAAAAUUUUAAUCUUAAAAAACUCUAGGAGCUAAAUUCAGUGACAAAUACCUGUAAUUCUGGACUUGGGAGGCUAAGGCAAGAAGAUCACAGGUUCAAGGCUAGCCUGGACAACUUUUUUUGGUACUGGGGAUCAAACUCCAGACCUUGCACUUGUGAGGCAGGUGGUGGACCCA